rnacentral:ncRNA from 1 species
AUUACAAUAUAAGCUGCGGAAUGCACGCUCAUCAGACACCACAAAAGGUGUCAAUGCAUCUAGACAGCCGGACGGUGGCCAUGGAAGUCGGAAUCCGCUUAGGAGUGUGUAACAACUCACCGGCCGAAUGCAUUGGCCCUGAAAAUGGAUGGCGCUUAAGCGUGCUACCUAUACCUCGCCGUUAGGGUUGACAUGAGGCCCUAACG